rnacentral:lncRNA from 1 species
AGGGAGGAGUCUGAACACGCCUGUGUCCGGGAGGAGUUCGAGAAUGUGGCCGAGCUUCACUCGGCCUUUUUUCAACUGUGGGCUUGCUUGAGUCUCCCGCCUGUCGCUCCUUCACGGUCUCCUUAUCCUUCAUCUUGAAGGCUUCUUCUACUUAGGCAUAUCCUUUGGCCUGAGCCAGCAAAUCAGCAAAGUUCCUGGGAUACUUCUUUUCUAGGGAAAACAAAAGAUCGUUCU